rnacentral:rRNA from 1 species
GACGAACGCUGGCGGCGUGCUUAACACAUGCAAGUCGAACGAGAGCGUAGAGAAAGCUUGCUUUUUCUACAAUCUAGUGGCAAACGGGUGAGUAACGCGUAAACUACCUGCCCUACGGAUGGGGACAACAGCUGGAAACGGCUGCUAAUACCGAAUACGUUCCGAAAGUCGCAUGACUAUCGGAAGAAAGGAUGGCCUCUAUUUAUAAGCUAUCGCCGGAGGAGGGGUUUGCGUCUGAUUAGCUAGUUGGAGGGGUAACGGCCCACCAAGGCGACGAUCAGGAGCCGGUCUGGGGGGAUGAACGGGCACAAUGGGACUGGGAACCGGUCCAGACCUCUACCGGGGGCAGCCAGGGGGAAACCUCCGCCAAGGGGCGAAGCCUGACGGGGGAACGGCGGGGGAGUGAAGGCGGGCUUCGGGUUGGUAAGCUUUGUUAUACGGGGCGGAUAAACUUGGUGUUAAUACCCAUGAGAAGUGACGGUACCGUAAGAGAAAGCCACGGCUAACUACGUG